CGGGGAAUAUUGCGCAAUGGGCGAAAGCCUGACGCAGCAACGCCGCGUGAGGGAUGACGGCUUUCGGGUUGUAAACCUCUUUCAGCAGGGACGAUUGUGACGGUACCUGCAGAAGAAGCCCCGGCCAACUACGUGCCAGCAGCCGCGGUAACACGUAGGGGGCGAGCGUUGUCCGGAUUUAUUGGGCGUAAAGAGCUCGUAGGUGGUUCGGUAAGUCGGGUGUGAAAACUCUGGGCUCAACUCAGAGACGCCACCUGAUACUGCCGUGACUGGAGUCUGGUAGGGGAGUGUGGAAUUUCCGGUGUAGCGGUGAAAUGCGCAGAUAUCGGAAGGAACACCAGUGGCGAAGGCGGCACUCUGGGCCAGUACUGACACUGAGGAGCGAAAGCGUGGGUAGCGAACAGGAUUAGAUACCCUGGUAGUCCACGCCGUAAACGUUGGGCACUAGGUGUGGGUCUCAACCAACGGGAUCCGUGCCGCAGCUAACGCAUUAAGUGCCCCGCCUGGGGAGUACGGCCGCAAGGCUAA
rnacentral:rRNA from 1 species